AAAAUUAGAACAUUCAAUGGGGCUUAUAUUUCAACAACUUAAAAAUUAAGAAAAUUCAAUUGGUAAGGAAAGUACACUUAUGUUUCUUUUUGUUUAAUUUUAACACA